AUACGUAGGGUGCAAGCGUUGUCCGGAAUUACUGGGUGUAAAGGGAGUGUAGGCGGGAUAGCAAGUCAGAUGUGAAAACUAUGGGCUCAACCCAUAGACUGCAUUUGAAACUGCUGUUCUUGAGUGAAGUAGAGGUUGGCGGAAUUCCUAGUGUAGCGGUGAAAUGCGUAGAUAUUAGGAGGAACAUCAGUGGCGAAGGCGGCCAACUGGGCUUUUACUGACGCUGAGGCUCGAAAGCGUGGGGAGCAAACAGGAUUAGAUACCCUGGUAGUCCACGCUGUAAACGAUGAUUACUAGGUGUGGGGGGACUGACCCCUUCCGUGCCGCAGUUAACACAAUAAGUAAUCCACCUGGGGAGUACGGCCGCAAGGCUGAA
rnacentral:rRNA from 1 species